ACAAUUGUCUUGUGUUCAGUGAGAAUUGUGAGUUCAGUGGGUUAUCAGCUUAAUAUCUGAUACGGGUUGUAUUUGGACCCAAGAUAUCAAACCUAUUUUUGCAAAUUGGCGGAGUGAUUCAAGGUUGCUUCAGGGCCACCGCGGGUUGGCCCAGUAUUGCACAAUGUUCGGGAUAGCCCCACGGUU